GCCGUCUCGCCAUCUCAUCGAGUACGGAGUAAGUCAUGCCUUCCUGCACUCUCAAUCUCUCGUCUUAUAAUUUCUCAUUUUGUCAGUUGAGGUUUGGCCAUAGGCAGAGCUCCCCAUACAUACAGCAGGAUGGGGCAGCUGCCCCAGCUACUGGCAGCUCAAAACUCCUAUUUCCCCUUCUUAUCCAUGGCGUCCUGCAGCCUGCUCACGGGUACAUAACGGAUGGUACCUGCACCGUCCCUUCCAUUAAGGCGAGGUAAGGAGGUUGCCCCUGCCGACAUGGAGAUCCCCCACCCAACCUGCUAGCCACCCUGUCGCCCUAGCGAGUGAAUCCCAGUCACAAGCAGGUAGGCGGCGGACAGCCAUGGUUGAGUCGAAGAAGCUGGCAGCUGUGACGAUUUCAUGAUUUGGAGAAGACGACUAGAGAGAUACGGGCCUACAAAGGCCGAGAUAGUUAUGUUUUGGGCCAUUCAUUCGGAGAAAAAAGCCCAAGAAGCUAUAUACCCAUUUUCCUUUUCCUUUCUUUGGAGAUUGUAUAUAAGUGUAUACUUCUACGUGUAUACGGAGUAUUUGGAAGACGCUCUGCAGCUGAUGUAGCGUCAGCAGGCACGAUCGCUACUGGCUGUUCUGCCCCACCAAUUUUGGUCCAGCUCCGCCAUUGGGUUUGGCAUGGUGUGUUAGUGUGCAAGUGGAUCCAUGGAUGCUUGAUCAUCGGUUUUAUUAAUCUUGGUCAUUGUAUUUCAUCGUUCCCCGGAUUAAAUUUUAGCUCCUGUCACAUCAAUUGUUUGGAUACUAAUUAGGAGUAUUAAAUAUAGGCUAAUUACAAAACCAAUUUCACAACCCCUAGGCUAAAUUGCAAGACGAAUCUAUUAAACCUAAUUAGUCUAUGAUUUGACAAUAUGAUGCUACAGUAAACAUUCGCUAAUGAUGGAUUAAUUAGGCUUAAUAGAUUCAUCUCGCGAUUUAGCCUAGGGGUUCUGCAAUUAGUUUUGUAAUUACCUCAUGUUUAGUCCUUCUAAUUAGUAUCCGAAUAUCCAAUGUGACACGGACUAAACUUUAGCUUCAGGAUCUAAACACCCCUAAGAUUUGUUCAUAAGAAAAUAAUGUUCAUUUAUCGAUUACCAUAACCUUCAUAUAGAGGCUCAUUUUACGUUUCACACAGCCUCAAAAACUUUUGUGCAGCCCUGGUAAUCACCGAUGAACCGAGAUGACGUGUUGUGAAGGAGUAGGCAGUAAAGAGGAAAUGUCACCGAAGAUGGCGACGGCGAGAAAGGAGAAAAAUAAAAGCUGAGAGAGGAAAAUAAAGAAGGCAGGCGCGGCACUUUUUAAACCCUCUUUCUUCCUGCUGUUUGUCCUCGUAAAUCUUUUCUAUGAGAAAAUA
rnacentral:lncRNA from 1 species